UAUCGGUACAAUAAAAAUAUAUUUCUAAACAUUUAACUAAGGAAAUAAUCAUCGUCAUUUUUUCAUUAAAAUUGUUAUUAAAUAUAAAUUGAGGAGUCACCAACAGGCAACAGCGGUUUCUCAAGCUCGAGGCGCCCCUUGAUUUUACCAAGCUGUGUGGCGCCCGGGGGCAAAUGACCCCUUUGCCGCCCCCCCUUAACACGGCCCUGGUUACAGCGGAGUGUGCGGAGCGGCGGACGUGCGACCCGAGUGGAUAGCGGCACAAGACUGAUAUGGUUUAAUAGAAGACGAUAAACUAUGUGAAAUGAAAUACCAUUAUUCCCUUAUUCUGUUAAAGAUUAUUGUAGUCUAGAAAAAGCUAUUUCGGACAAAAAACUUCCUUAUAUGAAAAUUAAAAAUAAUUUACCAACUUUGAAAGAAAAAAGUCAUUAUUUUUACCAGAUCCAAGGCCAAUUACAUGUGACUGAACGUAACAUUUGUUAUUUCUUUAUAUACACUCCAAAAUGGAAUCAAGCCUAAAGUUAUUUUACGAAGAGUGCUUGUCAAGAGAGCUAAUUGACCCUCAGUUCAUUAAACGUAUGUUGAAAAAUGAUAUAAUUGAAUCUCCACAUAUCAUACAAAAUA